UGCGGAGGGAUCAUUACUGAGUUAUCUAAACUCCAACCCUAUGUGAACUAUCUCUUUGUUGCCUCGGCGCAAGCUACCCGGGACCUCGCGCCCCGGGCGGCCCGCCGGCGGACAAACCAAAACUCUUGUUAUCUUAGUUGAUUAUCUGAGUGUCUUAUUUAAUAAGUCAAAACUUUCAACAACGGAUCUCUUGGUUCUGGCAUCGAUGAAGAACGCAGCGAAAUGCGAUAAGUAAUGUGAAUUGCAGAAUUCAGUGAAUCAUCGAAUCUUUGAACGCACAUUGCGCCCAUUAGUAUUCUAGUGGGCAUGCCUGUUCGAGCGUCAUUUCAACCCCUAAGCACAGCUUAUUGUUGGGAACCUACGGCUUCGUAGUUCCUCAAAGACAUUGGCGGAGUGGCAGUGGUCCUCUGAGCGUAGUAAUCUUUUAUCUCGCUUCUGUUAGGUGCUGCCCCCCCGGCCGUAAAACCCCCAAUUUUUUCUGGUUGACCUCGGAUCAGGUAGGAAUACCCGCUGAACUUAAGCAUAUCA
rnacentral:rRNA from 1 species